AUGACGCCGCCGCGGAUGAACCUGAUCGACGACGACGUCCUCGCGGAGAUCCUCCUCCGCAUGCCGCCGGACGAACCCGAGCACCUCUUCCGCGCCGCCCUCGUCUGCAAGCCCUGGCUCUGCGUCAUCUGCCUCCCCGCCUGCUUCCGCAGCCAGUACCGCGCGUUCCACGGCGCCCCUCCGCUGCUCGGCCUCCUCUACCGGAACCAGGUCUGCGACGGGGACGCCGCCCCGCGCUUCGCGUCCACCACCUCGAUGCCCGACUUCCCCCACCCAGGCUCCGGCGGCCGCCCCGCGCGCCCCCUCGACUGCCGCCACGGCCGCGUCCUCCUCCACAUGUCCCACGAUUCGGAUGUGGAUCUCCUCGUCUGGGACCCCGUCACCGGAGAGCGCCGCGUGGUGCCCGAUCCGGACGUGGACGUGGACUGGAUGGUCUACACCGCCGCCGUGUCCUGCGCCGCCGCCGGCUGCGACCACCUCGACUGCCACGGCGGGCCCUUCCGCGUGGUCUUCCUGGCCACCGAUGACCGCGAAGAGGUCGUCAAGGCAACCGUGUACUCGUCGGCGACAGGCGCGUGGAGCCCGCCGGUGUCUCUUGACGACAGCUGUGAGUGCUAUGCCCGGCACAAGCGAGACGCAACUGCAGAAAUGAUGUUCUUCUCCUCCUACGUACCCUAUGUCCAGUCCAGGCGAGUGGCCGCCAUUGGGGAUGCGGUCUACUUCACAAUUUCGCGGUCCGCUGCCAUUGCCAAGUACGAUUGGGCCGAGAAUCACCUGUCUGUGAUUGACCCACCACCACCAGAUACAGAAUUGUACGGUGGUUUCGUCUCCCUCAUGGUCAUGGAGGACAGUUCACUGGGGCUUGCUGGUGUUGAGGAUUCCACUUCCAGUCUGCAUCUCUGGUCGAGGACGGUGAAGGGAGCUGCAAAAUGGGUGCAAUGCAUGGUCAUUGACCUGGAGAAAGCCAUGCCCAUGGCCAAUCCCCGCGAAGGUGAUGGAGCAUAUGUGGUUGGUUUCGCAGAGGGUGUCGGUGUCAUCUUCGUCAGAACAGAUGCUGGCUUAUUCACGCUCGAGCUCAAGUCCGGGCUGGUGAAGAAGGUUGAUGAAUUUGGGGUCUACUUUUCCGUUUUACCCUACAUGAGCUUCUACACUCCUGACCGUGGUACAUUGUCAUCGCUGGCAAGGCUCACUGAUGUCUGA
rnacentral:rRNA from 1 species